rnacentral:lncRNA from 10 species
UUCUUUUAAAACUUUAAGGUCCAGAUUCUUUCUAUAAAAAAAAAGCAAGUCAAGAGUACCUAGCUACUUGAUUUGAAAGGCAAGAAAUAAUACUGCUGCCAAAGGUAGGUCACACUUGACACCAUAGAAUUACAAAGAAGCAUCUGAUUAAAAUGGGGUUUUACAAAAAGUUCCCUGCUGUGCCUUGGCAAGUGUUAAGAACAUGAAGCUUCAUGCCUAAUCUAAAACAAUGGCUCCUACUGAGAGGUAAACAGGAGCAGCAGCAGUCGCAGCAGCUGCUAUUCUCCCCCUAAGAAUAACCUGGGGCACUGAUUGGGAGAAUGAUGAGGGGUCUUCUGGGACACUGUUUUUAUUGGAUGUUGUUUGGUUUUAACAGCUUUAUUGAAAUAUAAUUUACAUAUCAUAAAGUCACCCUUUUAAAGUCUGAAAUUCAGUGGUUUUAAGUAUAUUCACAUCAUCAGUAUCUAAUUCUUGAAUUCCAAAAUAUUUUCUCCCCUCAAAAAGAAAUCCCAUACCCAUUAGUAGUCACUCACCAUACUAUCCCAGACCCACUCAGCCCCUGGCACCCACUGAUUUGUUUUCUAUCUCUACGGAUUUGCUAUUUGGGACAUUUAAAUGGAAUCAUAUGACUAUGUGGUCUUUUGUGACUGGCUUCUUUCACUUAGCAUGUUUCAUGGACCAUCCGUGUUCUAACAUGUACCAAUGCUUCAUUCUUUUUAAUGGCUCCAUUCCAUUGUAUAGGCAUACCGUAUUCUGUAUCCAUUCAGAUGAUGGCCAUCUGGGUGGUUUCCAUUUUUUAGCAAUUAUGAAUCAUGCUGCUAUGAACACUUUUCUAUGUUUUUGUGUAGAUAAAUUCUGCUAAGUAUACACCUGGAACUGGAAUUACUGGAUCACAUGGUAACUCUGUUUAACUUUAUUUUACUUAUUUUAUUGGAGACAAAGUCUCACUUUGUCACCCAGGCUGGAGUGCAGUGGUGGUAUCUUGGCUCACCACAACCUCUGACUCCUGGGCUCAAGUCAUUCUCAUGCUUCCGCCUCCCAAGUAGCUGGGAUUAGAGGCAUGUGCCACCACACCCAGGUAAUUGUAUUUUUAGUAGAGACAGGGUUUCGCCAUGUAGGCCAGACUAGUCUCAAACUCCUGGCCUCAAGUGAUCCGCCCGCCUCAGCCUCCCAAAGUGCUGGGAUUAUAGGCGUGAGCCAUCACGCCCCGCCUCUGUUUAACUUUCUGAGCAACUGCCAAGCUGUUUUUCAAAGUGGUUGCAAUAAUUUUACAUUUCCCCUAUUAAUGUAUGGAAGGUGAUUAUUUGUUUUUGAGAUAAUUAUCUGAGCUGUACGUUUGUAUCUUAACUUUUCUAUACUCAUUCUUCAAUAAAAAGUAAAAUGAUAAUAACAGCAACAACAAAACAUCAAAUGAAUAACUACUGUAUCAACACCAAUAAUAGGGACUUGUCUGAACUGCUUAUUUUCUCUUUUUUUCCUACAAGCUGUUCACUAAGAUACUUGGGUAGCCAGGUCAAUUCAAUUCAAUUCAAAAACAGAAUGUGAAAACAAGUGAAAUGGGACGGAAACCCUGGGAGAGAACGUUAUCCCACCAGUAGUCCCUACUCCCCCCAUGCAUUUCUAUUAAAGCACUGUGCUGAUUUUCAAAGAUACUAACUAUCCACUAAUUCUCCCUCUCUUAUUUAUACCCAGGAAUUGUCAAAACACUCCUACGUACACAAGUAAUAACCAAGGAUCACACGGUUAGCAAUGGUCCCAACACUCCCACAGAGUUCUCUCAACACCUUGACCUAGGGAUUUUGCCCCACCUAAGCUCCUGCCUUGGGGGCAGAUAUAAAAACUUUUCAGAAGACUUCAGGCCAGGAGCAGUGACUCACACCUAUAAUUCCAGCACUUUGGAAGGCUGAGGUGGGUGAUCACCUGAGGUCAGGAGUUCGAGACAUGGCGGGGGAAACCCCGUCUCUACUAAAAAUACAAAAAUUAGCUGGGCGUAGUGGGGCACGCCUGUAGUCCCAGCUACUUGGAAGGCUGAGGCAAGAGAAUUGCCUGAACCUGGGAGUCGGAGGU